CUUGUGCCACGGUGGCCCAAAUGUCAGUCAACCAGACAUGUCUUCUGAGAGUUCCCAGGAAUGUGGUGAAGAGCAACUGUAAGCGAUAAGAUUGUUCCCAGCGCUAAUAAAACUUUGGAGUUAAUUAACUGAGAAGAAGGUAAAAUGAAAUGUUGUUAUGAGGGCUAAAGUUGUUUUUCUACCUUUUUGAAAAUUAUUUUUUAUCUGUUGAAAUUAUAAUAUAAUUAUCAUCUCUCCUUCUUUUUGCUCCCCUCUCAGAAAUUAACAGCCUUGAGUUGCAGGUGGAAGGUGCAGAAGCCAAAUUAAAAACAGUCUUUUCAGGCUGAGCUCAGGAGCCUGAAUUUCCAUGCUGUAAGUGGCUGGGAUCCACUGGAGGAUUUUAAUUGUGUAAGUUGACAAGAUCAGAUUUGCUAUUCAGAAAGCACACCCUGGCACAGAUCGGUGGGUGGAAUAGAAAGUGGUUGCCCUGGAGACAGGCAGACCCAUUAGGAAGCUCUGACAAAGAUCCAGGAGAGAGAAAAUGAGGAUAGUGGUUGGAGGAAUGAGCAGAUUCAAAGACAUUUUAGAGGUGGAACGGAUGGUCGGGAGACGCUCAUUCAGUGUAAAUGCUGAAGGAAAGGAAGAACCAAGGAGCGCUGUGGUUUCCAGCUUGGAUUUCUAUAUGGAUAGUGAAUAAUUAAUGAAGAUGUGGCGGGCGGGCAUAAUGGGGACUUAAGAGGGAGGUAGUUGUAGAUGGACGUGAUCAAUAUACAUUUGUUUAAAUGUGUAUAACUUUCAAAGAGUAAGAGAAUUAUUAUUUUAAUAGAUCAAGGUAUAAAAUACAAAAAAAAGUCAAAUGGGGGGGGGGGUUUGCUAAUGAAUUCAUAUGUGACCUGUUGAAUUUGAUGUAUCUUUUGGACUUGUAGGUGAAGAAGUCACAUGUGGUGAAUAUAUUAUCAUCAGAAUGCGGAGCAAUGAAAUGUAAACAGAUAGGAAUCGUCACUAAAGCUCCAACUGCAGCCUCCGGGUGCCAUAGCUUUUGCACCAUCCAUUUGCACCAUCUCUGCAGUAAGUCCUAGCUCAAGCCUUACUCCAAAGUACAAAUUAGCAUAGCAGCUCAGUCAACAAUGCCUCCGAGCUUCUGGAAAGAAAGAUGCUCAGUCACCAUAGACCCAGAAUUAAUGAAAAGUCACAGAAAUAAUAGCUCCAUUCUCUACUUGCUUCUGAACCUCAAAUCAGUGGUUGGCAACAAGUUGCUCUCAAUCACUGCCACGAGUCUGGUGAUGCGCUAAGCUCGGGGCAGGAUCUCAAGGGCUUUGAGGAUGUCUGCAUCAUCUGUAUUGACCUGCUCCCCAGAUUAAUACCGAAGCACUGCAAUUUCUUGAGGAUUAUCCACCUAGGAGGAAAUGAUACGCUGGCCCAUCCAUAGUAGUCAAGGUUUCUUGGAAGAGAAGAAUGAGAUUGGAUCUGAGAAAAUGUGGCUGGGAACCACCAUCUCAGAUGGUAGAAACCACUCAGAAGGAUCAACUGCUGCAGACGGGAAGAGGAGCAACCUCGUGAAUAAUUUCGUGACAGGAUAUUGCAGGAGGGACUUUGUCCAAAUGUGUGCAGGGUAGUUGGCUACAGCAACAAGGAUGACGAACACAGAUGAAUUGAUCAGGAUGUAACCAUUCAAAGUUGAGAGGAUUAGAGGACUUCUCCGAGGCGGCUCCAAUGGAUGCCAGCAGAGUUAAAGUGUCCAAUGGAGAGAAGAGAAGGCUUGGGAAAUCCAGAGUCCAUUCAUUCAUCGCCCUCCUCCUAGAACAACAAAAGCGAGCCCCAGUACUCAUCAGCAUGGACUCUGUGUGUAGUCAUCUCCCUUAGUUUCAGAGGUUCCUGCCUACAGCAAAACUUUAGAGGCUUAGAGUUUAACGGUCAUAGCUUAUUCACCUCCAACUGUGUCCUAGUUCAAGAGAAACACUUCACAUAUCUGUAGGGAGAAGAUAAUGAACCAAGGAUACAAGUUAAGCCUUAGCUAAGACCUGUUACUCAGGAAAAAGAGCUAAAACAAGCUGCUUAGAUCAGCACCAAUGUUAGGUAGAGAGAAAAAGAAACGCUGCAUAGAAAUCUUAAGGUUCACAUGUGCUCCAGGCUGGGUCAACAACUUCUAAUUUCCUUUGCCAACCAACCAUGUCUUUGACAGAAAUGAUCCUUCUACAUAGACCACAGAGGGAUCCAAUGGAGGUUUCUCUUCCUGAAUUUGGGGAUUCAGAAUCUGGACAAAUUCCUUUCCAUCAAAGUCCAGUACAAAAGUAGUACCAUGGCAGUCCCUGCAGGGACUUGCAUCACUUUCCCUAGAGAUAUCAAGAGAAUUUUUAGUGAUAAGAAUAUGGCACAAAAUGAGAAAUCCCAUUACUCUUAAGAGAAUCUCUUCCUUCUCAAAGGCACCUGAUUAAUACAUAUAGUACUAUCAGUAAGGCUGAGCAAAAGGAUACUGAUGUUCUGAGUGAUCUUAAAUCAUGUAAUAAUAACUUUAUUCGUAGUAUAGAACGGAAUAUUCCCUAUUAGUAAUCAGUUCCUUUGCCAGAUCCUCAUAGUAUCUUAGUCACUGUUUUAUUGUUAUGAAGAGAAACUUUGACCACAGCACCUCUUAGAAAAAAGGAAGCAUUUAAUCGGGACUUCCUUAUGGUUUCACAGUUUUACAUAAUUGUCAACAUGGCAGAGAACAUGGGGGCACGCAAACAGACAUGGUGCUGGAGAAGUAGCGGAGAAUAUACAGCAACAUAUAGAUACAAAAUAUAGAUACAUAUAGAUACAGAAUAUAGAUACAUAUAGCUACAUAUAGAUCUGCAGGCAGCAGGAAGAGACUGGGACAAGGCCAUACCUUCUAAGGCUUCUCAAGGAGUGUCACUUCCUGAUGACCAAGCAUUCAAGUGUAUGAGCUUAUGGGAGCCAUUCUUAUUCAAGCCACCACACAUAGCAAAGCUGAUAAUGUCAUUUUCUGAAUUAACCAGGCCAAGGCACACUUCUUAGCAACAUGGUUACCUGGUAACCAGAGAUUUUUCUCAUCCCAUGAGAGAUUUCAUUCAAGAACUGAUCUUCUAACAGUUUUGUCUCUCUUAAGAAUGCUACAGACAGGGUGGGGUGAGGCACAGUGCUGAAGCCCCUCAAGUUUCCCAGAGGGAUGAGUCCAUGAAAGACGAAAAUCAUGUGGUCACACUGAGCAUAGACUUCACAAGCAUCAUGCUAGGAUUCCAUUUUCUUUCUCAACACAAUGAUAAAUUCUUCUUCCAAUAAGCAGAAAAUCAUCCAAUGGGAAAAAAAAAUAAAACCAACUAACUUGCAGUCCUUUGGAACAGUUUCAUAGCUUACAGGAUGGCUUCAUAACCCUGGGGACACUCGUUUUGACAUGAAAACUUCCUUCAGAACAGGAAUUCUGAUCCAACAUGUGCUCAGACAUCAUUUCAGUCACUUGCAAAUGAACAAGAAAGCUCAUGUAAAUGAGGAGGCUCAACUCCCAGGCCUGGUGAGUGGGUAAGACAUUCCUCUGCUGGGUUUUGAAGGCUGUCUGAAACCAUCGGCUGACAUCCUUCUCUGUGUGCAUGUAUGCACUAUCUACGGGAAAUUCAGCUCCAACCGGUUGUCUCUACAGCUCCCUUAAUCUUCUCCUCCCUCCUCCUGGCAUUGGCAUGUGUCCCAGGACUGCAGCGAGGAGUGCUUACCAACAAAGGUGCUGGCAUCUGCAUUUGUUUCACAGCCACAAACCUAAUGGUUCCAUGAUUUUGGCGAGCAAAACUGUCAAAAUGCCUGAGCACAAGAGAUCACAAGAUGAGCCAAGGCAUAGUGUGCAUGCCUUCCUUCCCAGCACUCGGAAGGCAGAGGCAAGGGGAUCUCUGUGGGUUCAAGGCCAGCCUGAAUCACAAGGUGUACUGGGGAUUCUUUUUUAUUGUUUUCCUUUUGCUAUCUGGAAUAGUUUGAGAUUGUAUUUGAUCAGUGCAUUAAACAAC
rnacentral:lncRNA from 1 species